CAUUGAGAAGCUAUGUAUCAGCACUAGCCUUUUAAGCUAGAGAAAGAGGCCUACCUAUCCUCCUCAAUGG
rnacentral:tRNA from 1 species